rnacentral:lncRNA from 10 species
CACACAUGUGAGAUGGACAUACAUCCAUUUAAGUGGACAAAGAUAUAUUUGUCUUUUAGAAAUAAAUUUAACUGUAAUUUAAAUGAAUCAAAUUUGCUUUUUUGUUACUGUGUAAGAUGAUACACAAGACCGAACCAUACAAGUAGAUUGAGUUUUCCUGAAAUGAACAGUUUAAGAACCUGAGAACAUUUUCUAGGAAAAAGCAUGUUGGAUUUGGACCAGAACACGUUAGGAAACAUAUUCCACUAUUCAAAGGAUAAAGCUCUUCUUUCAAAUUGUGUACUGAAGAUAUUUAGUUAGAAAAAGACUCAGUAGUAUGCCUGGAAUUCUGAAGAUCUGACUUCCCUAUCCCCCUUUAAGUUAGGUCAGGCCAUCUGCCUGGUUCUGUAUAAAUGAAUGUGGAUGAAAGUGAUGUGUACCACUACAAAACCUGGCUAGAAGGCAUCCUACAUAAUACUCCUCAUUUUUGCUCUUUGCCUUAUUGGGUGACUAAACGCACAGGAUCUAGCAGAGGACACUGAGGAGUCCCUGGAAGAUUGCGGCAACACAAGACGGAGAAGCCAGGAUCCCAAAGCACCAAGUGAAAGACUGGUCGGCAAAAAUCCAUUUGAACUGUGAUGGGUCAGCACAUCCAGAGUGCAAUGGAUAAGCCUUGGCCUGCGAAAACCACCUUCGUGAUCAUGGUAUCUCCCCUGCCAGGUAAGUAUAGGCCAGGUUUUGGCAGUUGCAAUUAACUAGAAUAAAUUUUGUUUAUUAAAUUAUAAAUAAAUUGAAGUAAAUAUUAGAAUGAUUAUCUCAAAGAACUUGUUAGGGUACAAUUCUCAGAAUGUGGUGUUAAAAAUGAUUAUUUGAUUAUUGUAAUGGUGAAUGAUUAUUUUUCACUGGAAGGUGUUACGGUCAUCAGCCAAGUUCUAGCAGCAGGAAAUUAUUGUUUGUGGUUUGCACUGUCCAUGGUCUACAAUGAUGAUUGAUUCAGCCAAACAGGGUGAUUGUACUUUCUACACUUUAGACUCUGUAGCUACUGAGUGCAAUGUAAAAUACUGGCAAAAAACUCAGUGUAUUUGAUAGAAUUUCAAAAACAGUUAAAGAACUGACCACUGCUAAUAAAAUUCUGAAACAUCAAAAAAUUUGAAUUAAAAUAAAUUUUACAUUAUUUCAAACAUCAAUACUAAAGAGGGAACAAAGUUUUACUCUAUAAAGAUUUUAACUUACGAAAGCUGAAAUAAUCUUUUAUGAAGUCUUAGGGUUGUCAGCAGAAUUAACUAGGCAACUAAGAAAAGCAACAUUGUCUCUAGAUCUCCACAAAAGCCUGAAAACCAUAAAGUAGCUGCUUAUGAAUUUGAGAAUCUCUGUUCUUAGUUAAAACUUAUAUACCACUUGCAAAAUCUUAAAUCCAAAGACCUACUCUCUUCAAUACCUGUGAUUCUUCCAUUUCUCUCAAGUUGUCUCUUCUCUCAACAUGCCAUUUUUCUUCAUGGCCUUGACUUACUCAUUUUCUCUUAGUUCAGUAGUCCCGUCCCUUCUUGGUUCCACUUUUCCCCUCUACUGCUUGUGCUUCUACCAUCCUUACCCAAGCAGUUAAUUCCCUGCCGUAAUUGAAAACAGUCACUGCCCAUGUCUAAUUUUGGUUCAAAAAUUGACUGGGUUUUGUGUGGAACAUUGCUUCACUGUACAGACUGGUGCUGCAUAACAGUUACGGUUUUCAUUCUAAGCUGGGCCCUCAGUACUUCUCAGUGUCUCUUCUACUUGCUCUUAGUAAUCACCUUUCUUAUUCUUUAUUGAGACAUUGUGGCAGAAUAGAAAAGCAUGGACAUUGUUGACAGACCUUGAUUCAAAUCCCAGCUUCAGCACUUAAUAUCUGAGUGAUAUUUAGCAAAUUAUUAACUGAUUUAAUCCUGUUUCCAUCUAUGUAAAAUAGGAAUAAUUCCUAUCUUGUAGGAUUUUCUGUUAAGGACUUAAGAUAAUGUAAGAAAGGUGAUUUGGUAAAUAGGUCAAUGUUAAUUGUUAUAGUUGUUCUUCUGCAGCUUGGUCUGGUCUCUAAAAGUUCACUAAGUUUCUUAAAUUUUCCACCAUAUCUCCAAAUGCCUAAUUAUCAACAGAUAAUAGUCUUUUAUUUUGAUAUCAAAAACACAAGUUAUCAAGUGAGUACAUUCUCAGUUUCUCAUCCCCUCCACUUCUAUACAUACCUAUGAUGUUACUCAUUAGUCCCUUCUCUCCUAUUUUAGAAUAACACAUAUUUCAUUUUCUUUUCAAAGACCCCAGAGACAGUAUAACACAGUGACUGAGAGAAAACAGUCUUUGGUGCCCAGUUGCCUGGGACUUUUUCUUCCCUCUACCACUUGGGCCAGUUGGUCAACCUCCCUGCAUCUCAAUUUCUCUAUAUCUAAAGUGGAUACAAUGAAUACAUGUACCUCAUAUGGUUCUGAAACAGACUGAAUUAAAUGGAACACUGAAAACACAAAGAGCCUGAUACACAAUAUACACUUCUGUUAGCUAUUAGCAAUUAUUACUACUAUGAGUUAUUAUCACUUUCUGUCUCAUCAGGGUGUCAGUUCACAAAUUCUUCCCUCUGUCCUGAGCCUUUAGUCACUUCUCCACUGGCUCCUUCUUAGCCUACUUAAGCAUUUAUCAGUGAAAACUUUCCUUCACCUGGCUUUGUUGCACUUUUGUCAUAUUUCCUUUCGUGGCUAAAUGUUAUGAAAGAGUAGGCUAAUUCCAAUACUCUGAUUAUACUAAUUUAACUAUUCCUCAUUCUUCAAUUCAAUAUAAUAUGACUUCUAUUCCCACUGCUCUACUGAAACUGCCUUCACUCAGGUCCACUAUGACCUCCCAAUUGUGAAACCCAGUGGCAUAUUUCCAGGCAGCAUCCCAUGUAACCCAUCUAUGAUAUUUGACACUAUUGUCCAUGUAGAACUUCUUAAGAUCUUCUAUUUAGUGUCUAUGAUAGUGUUUAUUGUUCAUUUCAUCUGGACAUUACUCUUAAGUUUUUUUCUGAAUCUCCUUUUGUACAUACUUUAAAUCAAGAUGAACACUUGAUUAUGUAAAUUUCUUCCACACCAUAUUCUGGCAAAAUAUAGCUUGAAGUGUCUACUGUAUAUGUUUUCUUCUCUGUAAACUAUAAUGUCUGCAUCUCUGAUACUAUGAAAACGUCAUUUUAUAUAGUUGGACUUGCCCUAAUCUAGGUCAUAUCCAUUUUCGAUAAACUUUAUUCUUCCAGCUUCUUUUACAGAAAGCAUCUAAUUAUUGGCCUUUAAUCUUCUGCUCCCUUAAACCCAUGCUCCACUCUAUUUCUGGAUAUUUUUUUCAUCCUGUAAUCUCAAUCUAAUAAUGUCUCUUUUCUAUGUGAAAGCAUCAGAUUCCAUUAUAUUUAUUAUAGGGCAAAGCCCAUGUGUCUUCCUAUAUUAAUUAGGUUCUAUUUAAAUUGUUUGAGAAACUCUUACUCAUACCCUAAAACUCCGCUUUUAUAUCGUCUAUUAAAAUUACCUUAAUUUCCCAAGAAAAUGAGCUGCUAGGUCAUUUGCUCUCAG